rnacentral:rRNA from 1 species
UACGUAGGGUGCAAGCGUUGAUCGGAAUUACUGGGCGUAAAGCGUACGCAGGCGGCUUUGCAAGUCAGGUGUGAAAUCCCCGGGCCUAACCUGGGAACUGCAUUUGUGACUGCAUGGCUAGAGUCUGGCAGAGGGGGGUGGAAUUCCACGUGUAGCAGUGAAAUGCGUAGAGAUGUGGAAGAACACCGAUGGCGAAGGCAGCCCCCUGGGAUGAGACUGACGCUCAUGUACGAAAGCGUGGGGAGCAAACAGG